rnacentral:rRNA from 1 species
CGCUGGCGGCGUGCCUAACACAUGCAAGUCGAACGUGAUUAGAGAGCUUGCUCUCUAUGAAAGUGGCGCACGGGUGAGUAACGCGUAGAUAAUCUACCUGAUGAUCCGGGAUAACACUUCGAAAGGGGUGCUAAUACCUGAUAAGCCCACGGAGUCCUUGGAUUCUGCGGGAAAAGGGGGGGACCUUUAUCGGCCUUCCGUCAUCAGAUGAGUCUGCGUACCAUUAGCUAGUUGGUAGGGUAAAGGCCUACCAAGGCUACGAUGGUUAGCUGGUCUGAGAGGAUGAUCAGCCACACUGGAACUGAGACACGGUCCAGACUCCUACGGGAGGCAGCAGUGGGGAAUUUUGCGCAAUGGGGGAAACCCUGACGCAGCAACGCCGCGUGAGUGAUGAAGGCCCUUGGGUCGUAAAGCUCUGACAGAGGGAAAGAAAUGUAGGGGGGCUAAUAUCCCCUUUACUUGACGGUACCCUCAAAGGAAGCACCGGCUAACUCCGUGCCAGCAGCCGCGGUAAUACGGGGGGUGCAAGCGUUGUUCGGAUUUAUUGGGCGUAAAGCGCGUGUAGGCGGUUUUAUAAGUCUGAUGUGAAAGCCCUGGGCUCAACCCGGGAAGUGCAUUGGAUACUGUAAGACUUGAAUACGGGAGAGGGCAGUGGAAUUCCUAGUGUAGGAGUGAAAUCCGUAGAUAUUAGGAGGAACACCGGUGGCGAAGGCGGCUGCCUGGACCGAUAUUGACGCUGAGACGCGAAAGCGUGGGUAGCAAACAG